AGCGAACGCUGGCGGCGUGCUUAACACAUGCAAGUCGAACGGAUCCGGGGGGCAACCCUCGGGUUAGUGGCGAACGGGUGAGUAACACGUGGGUAAUCUUCCCCCGAGUGAGGAAUAAGCUUGCGAAAGCGGGUCUAAUACCGCAUGACGCUUCGGGACUUCAGUCUUCGAAGCCAAAGCCGUAAGGCGCUUGGGGAUGAGCCUGCGUCCUAUUAGCUAGUUGGUAGGGUAAUGGCCUACCAAGGCGAUGAUGGGUAGCCGGCCUGAGAGGGUGAUCGGCCACACUGGAACUGAGACACGGUCCAGACUCCUACGGGAGGCAG
rnacentral:rRNA from 1 species